rnacentral:rRNA from 1 species
UACAGAGGUCCCAAGCGUUGUUCGGAUUCAUUGGGCGUAAAGGGUGUGUAGGUGGCGCGGUAAGUCGGGUGUGAAAUCUCGGGGCUUAACUCCGAAACUGCAUUCGAUACUGCGGUGCUUGAGGACUGGAGAGGAGACUGGAAUUCAUGGUGUAGCAGUGAAAUGCGUAGAGAUCAUGAGGAAGACCAGUGGCGAAGGCGGGUCUCUGGACAGUUCCUGACACUGAGACACGAAGGCCAGGGGAGCAAACGGG